UGACUGCAAACCCUGAACAACCAAACACAACAGCUGUCAGCCAUCUCAAACGCAGCGACACGUUGGAAAGGAUCCCAUGGUAACUAACAUUAAAAUCACCGAGGAGGCUACACACGGCCUUCAUUAUUACAUAAAUAUCGCCCAGGGUGCCGUGACGCCACUGUUCUCCUCCUACACAGGAAGUGUUUUGAAAGCACCUGUCCAGUAGUGCCACAAGGCACUUCACCUCUACGUACUCCCAGCUCCCAACUGCCUGUCCUCCCCAGAGCUGCACUGGGCUCCAUCCAGGACGAGGGCAACCGCUGACUUCAGCCACUACCGGGACCACACGCCACCACCAUAACAACACGAGUGGUACAAGGACUGUGCAACGCUCUUUUAAAUGUUCAUCAAAUUAUUACAGUGUAGGCACAAACAUGUGACGCUUUCAAGCUUUAAAUCAUGCAACAGAGUAUAGUGAGUAAUUUGUAGAAUAUUUUAAACAAUGUAACAACUCUUUGCUCCGCUAUGUCUCCCCUUAUUUUAUUCACAUAUCCGUUGACUCAUUUAUAUAUUUACUUAUCUGACAAUGUAACACUUUAGCAGGUAACUUUUUGCUGUUACAGUCCUGACUAGCUCAGGUAGAUGGUCUGCCUGCAGCUGAGACCAUCCCUGUGACUUUGUUCUGUAAAAUAACAACAAUGCUGAAAUCAUUUAAAAAUGUGAGUAAUUGAAAAUUAGCAUAAAAAAAACAGAAAAAUGCCAAAUUGAGAAUUAUUCUAAAAAUGUAUUUUAGUUUACAAAAAAAUCCACAGCUAUCUUGCCUGAUAACAGAUUAAAUAAGCUACACUGUGCAUUACUGUAUAUUGAACUGCAUGCCAUUAAAUGGAAAAUAGGAUUUUCCACAGUCACUUUAGCUUCAUUUAUUUUAAUUUCUCUGGAAAUUAUUUAUUGGAAAAAAAAAAAAUCCCCCCGCCUCAUCCCUCUAAACUCAUAACCCCGGAAGAGCAAAAACAGUAAUUGAGAGGAAAAUAUUGUCAUCUGAUUGACCAAAGCAAAAGAGAAGGUUGUCUAACUUCAACUUACAA